CAGAGUGACAAGCUGGUUAAAG
rnacentral:miRNA from 1 species